rnacentral:rRNA from 1 species
UACGUAGGUGUCAAGCGUUGUCCGGAUUUACUGGGCGUAAAGGGCUCGUAGGCGGCCAACUAAGUCAGACGUGAAAUCCCCAGGCUCAACCUGGGAACUGCGUCCGAUACUGGCAGGCUUGAAUCCGGGAGAGGGAUGUGGAAUUCCAGGUGUAGCGGUGAAAUGCGUAGAUAUCUGGAGGAACACCGGUGGCGAAGGCGGCAUCCUGGACCGGUAUUGACGCUGAGGCGCGAAAGCUAGGGGAGCAAACGGG